UGAGCAGCAUCGGAUAGGGGGCGAGCUGUAAUUAGGCGGAAGCCAAUCCACAAAACGAGGCCGUUCCGAAUAGAAACCUCCACACGCCAGCGGUACACAACCAGAGACUCGCUCCCUGACGGACAACAUUCCACGGUAUACCCGUCGAGAACGUCUCACCACCCGCCGAAGGAUCGAAUCAGUCAUGCAAUCGACGGCGACGCAGCAACGGGUCGAGGCAGUGAUUUCAACCGAGGAGGCACCAGCUGUAGUCAUCUCAGUCACGCAGAAAGUGUCAUAAGCGCCGAAAGUCGCGCACCGCGUAGAGGUACACAAAGGAAAAGGAAAAAAAAAAAAAAAAGAAAAAAAAACAGUCGGAAGAGCUUUUUCGCCGUGAGAUGAGGGAGCCGCGGGCCCCGGCAGAGGAGGCGAGAAGGAGCAGGGGCUUCGAGGCAGUGGGUCGAUGAGCGUAGCCGCGUGGUGCUUAGGGGCCAGCGGGCCGAGGAGCCUCGCCCGGCGGCCCCGAGGUGUACGGCCGGCGGUGGCGAGGUGAACGGGCCAGCGGCUGGAGGGGCCAGGCGCAGCAGCUCUGGAGCCGGGCGGCGAGGCACUCGAGCCCUUGGCCAUCGUGGCCGGAGCGGAGCAUCAUCAUCAUCAUCAUCAUAAUCAUCAUCACCAAUCGACACUAGUCAAGUUAAACAGCGCCAGUGGCGGUAGACAGGGUGGGGAGAAGCGCGUGACCUUCCUCGAGCACCCGGUCGAGCUGACCGAGUCGCCGAGUACCACCCAACAGUCCCCCUGCGACGUCUGCGCCUUUUCUACGUUUUA